rnacentral:rRNA from 1 species
UCGAGAAUCUUUCACAAUGGGGGCAACCCUGAUGGAGCGACGCCGCGUGGAGGAUAAGGUCUUCGGAUUGUAAACUCCUGUCAUGUGUGAACAAGGUUGUCGUGUUAAUAGCAUGGCAAAUUGAUGGUAACACAAGAGGAAGAGACGGCUAACUCUGUGCCAGCAGCCGCGGUAAUACAGAGGUCUCAAGCGUUGUUCGGAAUCACUGGGCGUAAAGGGUGCGUAGGUGGCGUGGAAAGUCAGAUGUGAAAGCCCGGGGCUCAACCUCGGAAUUGCAUCCGAUACUACCAUGCUAGAGUACUGAAGAGGUGACUAGAAUUCUCGGUGUAGCAGUGAAAUGCGUAGAUAUCGAGAGGAAUACCAACGGCGAAGGCAGGUCACUGGGCAGUUACUGACACUGAGGCACGAAGGCCAGGGGAGCAAACGGGAUUAGAUACCCCGGUAGUCCUGGCAGUAAACGGUGCAUAUUUGGUGUGGGCGCAAUCGACCGCGUCCGCGCCGGAGCUAACGCGUUAAAUAUGCCGCCUGGGAAGUACGGUCGCAAGAUUA